GUUUCGUAGUGCAGUGGUAACAACAUGUCUGUGAUCUCCUGAGCUCGUGGGUUCGAGUCCCACAGGAUGCA
rnacentral:tRNA from 1 species